rnacentral:lncRNA from 1 species
AAAACCCUAAACCACAAAAAACCCUAAAAACCUAACUCUUUCUGCCUACUCACCCAAGCAGCCGCCGUUCCCCGGGGUCCUUGGCUUUUGCUCUCCCAGAACCAGAGAGCCAAGGACCCCUCGCCAUUUGAAAUCAGCCCUUCUCCCCCUUUGGCCGCUCAUCCUUUGGAAACCAGAGCUCCCCUUCUCCUCUCACGGCCCCCAAAAACAUUUUGUCCUUCUCACAGCCGACCCCAACAGCCCCAUC